CAUAUGCAAGCUCAACAAAGCCCACUGUACGGAACCAGCUCUGUUUCUCUGCUGCUUCUGGGUCUGAAUAAAACCACAAAGAGCAAUAUACCCGUGAUAGAUGGGGCCCGGAUUGUUUUGGAACUUCUCUUCAAAGGCUAACUGCUCGGUGCCGCAGAGCCUGCUGCAGACCAUGUUGCUCUCCAGGAUGGCUGGGAUGAAGGAGCAGCAAUUUACUGAGGAGAAACCCCUACUGCAAGAACAAAGAGGACAAGACACUGAGAUGGUGAGCAUUUUCUUUAUAUGUGUGUGUGUGUGUGUGUGUGUGUGUGUGUGUGUGUGUGUGUGUGUGUGUGUGUGUGUGCGCAUGCGUACGUGUCUGUUUGUUAGUUAUUUUGUGCAUGCGUGCAUUGGAAUACUCAUUUAUUUUUGUGCAAUUGUGCGAGUGUGUGUAGUUAAUAUAAUAGCGUAUUUGUGUGUGUCCUGGUUGGGAAACAGAAAAUGUGGUUAAUUGUGUAGGAGGGAUUCAUCAUACGCUGCAUUAAUAUUCACAUUUAGGAGUGUGAAAGGAUGGGGGAGUUGAGAGGCGGCAAGGUCUUACAAAAACCAGUGACUGCAACAGUAUACUUCUCUUAGCAUAAUAAGUCAUUCAGUAAACUCUUGAAUGCCGUGACUGAACAUGAAGAGCAGAAGAGAGAUGGAAUCAGUAGAGAAAAGAAGUGCUAAUCACAUUGAUUAAAAUGCCAACUGUCUGAGAGGAUAUGUCACAGUCAUUUAUACACUUCACUGACAUUCUUGAUAAUGAUUGACAGAGUGGAGAAACGGAUUACUCAGACAAUAUCAAGACAGUGGCCGUUAAAACACAGAGGCCAAGUAAAAAUGUGUUAAUCAAAGCAAUGUUGAUUAUUGCUGAUUAUUACAUAGUGGUAAUUAACCAUGAGGACUUACAGUGCAUAUUGAAGUAAAGAGCUAUGUGGAGUGGAUGUGUGACCCAGAUUCAUUUGUUUCCUUUAAAAGACUGUGUUCUGAUUUGAUCAGGAUGACAUCAUGACAGCAGCUUAUCCAGACAGCCUUGCCUCUCUUGUCCUCCUCUACGUGGGUCAUGACCUCCCAGGUCUGUUAGGUACAGAUAUAGGAUCUUAAUUUGAUCUCUUUUGUUGAUGAGAAUGUUCCUACACAACAAUAAAUGCAAACGUGAAGUGUAUUUAAGGUUUUCCACUUUAAAAUGUCAUACUUGAUUUGCCCUAACUUCAAAUGUAUUACCCUACAAAAAAUGGUCAUUAAUUAUAAUCCACAAAAUAAAUCACAUUUCCUUUUGCUGCAGGUUUAUUUUACUGCUGCAGGAUUAUUUUCCUGCUGUAGCAAACUGGCUCAAAUUAAGAUCCUACAUCUGUAGUCUUCACCCCUCCAGGUCUCUCCCGACCUGGACCUCUGAGGUGGACUGAUCAGCCAUUGUAACACAGCUCUGUUUGUGUUUAUGACACAGAGAGACCAAGGGUGGUGUAAGAACGCACUCCCCUGUGCAAACCCUGCACCCCUCACCGCCCCCUCUUCCUCAAGCCACCCCCAACAACAAUGGCAUGUGAUCAGGAAGCACUGGCUCCGCCAGACCCGCAAUCAGUCCAGUGGGCGCAUAAUUACAAACCCAGAACACGCCCUGCAGGGGGACAGGUCCCCUCGCCCAGUGGGGCACCAAAUCUCGGAUUCCUUCAGCUGUGCUAUUGGUUGCUCCUUUACAUAGCUUAUCCUCACCUGCAACACAUGCUGAGUCACAGAAAUAUGGAGGCCUACAGCCUAUAGUAAUAGAAUCAGCAGGGUGCCAAACUUCCAGAUAAUCACACAGGAUCAUUUCAUAUAGAGAAAUGUUCAACUUCCUUAAGAACAACAUGCAUCCAGCCACCACCAGCACAGUGCCACAGCUCCCUCCCCCACCAUGCUGUGCUACUGCAGUCACAUCUGGGCUCCAGAGGACAAGAGUGACACCUGCUGGUCCGACCGCCCCACUGAAGCACCUAACCUGCUGUCUCUCCUCUAAGAACAAGUGCAUGACAUACCCAUUCUCUCUAGUCGUGUCUCUGAUCUUAAUGGCAUCACCCUCUAUCAAUGGACUGCUGAAGUGUUCUGAUAAUAAUGCAACCAUGUGACAACUUUCUUAUUUUUUUCACCUCAUCUGUGUUUUUAUGUAUAAUCCUUUUGUGUUUCCUGAAACCACUGUAUAUGAAUGCACUAGGAAUGCAUCUUCAGGAUCUCUAAGGGUUAGGGGACUUUUUUUCUUAAACCACUCUAAUGAUGCUUGUUCUGAUUCAACUACAGUAUACCCUAUAUAUAUCAUCUCUCUAUAUACAACCUCUCUAUAUAUAACCUCUAUAUAUACAGUGCCUUGCAAAAGUAUUCGGCCCCCUUGAACUUUGCGACCUUUUGCCACAUUUCAGGCUUCAAACAUAAAGAUAUAAAACUGUAUUUUUUUGUGAAGAAUCAACAACAAGUGGGACACAAUCAUGAAGUGGAACGACAUUUAUUGGAUAUUUCAAACUUUUUUAACAACUUCAAAAACUGAAAAAUUGGGCGUGCAAAAUUAUUCAGCCCCUUUACUUUCAGUGCAGCAAACUCUCUCCAGAAGUUCAGUGAGGAUCUCUGAAUGAUCCAAUGUUGACCUAAAUGACUAAUGAUGAUAAAUACAAUCCACCUGUGUGUAAUCAAGUCUCCGUAUAAAUGCACCUGCACUGUGAUAGUCUCAGAGGUCCGUUAAAAGCGCAGAGAGCAUCAUGAAGAACAAGGAACACACCAGGCAGGUCCGAGAUACUGUUGUGAAGAAGUUUAAAGCCGGAUUUGGAUACAAAAAGAUUUCCCAAGCUUUAAACAUCCCAAGGAGCACUGUGCAAGCGAUAAUAUUGAAAUGGAAGGAGUAUCAGACCACUGCAAAUCUACCAAGACCUGGCCGUAC
rnacentral:lncRNA from 13 species